rnacentral:rRNA from 1 species
UACGUAGGGGCGAGCGUUGUCCGGAUUUACUGGGCGUAAAGGGUGAGUAGGCGGUUAUAUAUGUCAGGUGUAAAAAGCUAUGGCUUAACCAUAGUAAGCACUUGAAACUGUAUGACUUGAGUGCAGGAGAGGUAAGCGGAAUUCCUAGUGUAGCGGUGAAAUGCGUAGAUAUUAGGAGGAACACCGGUGGCGAAGGCGGCUUACUGGACUGUAACUGACGCUGAGUCACGAAAGCGUGGGUAGCAAACAGGAUUAGAUACCCCCGUAGUCCCUGAG